GCGCUAUUAGUUUAACGGUAAGAACCUCAGUUUUCCAAACUGAAGAUGGCGUUUCGAUUACGCCAUAGCGCUCCA
rnacentral:tRNA from 1 species